rnacentral:rRNA from 1 species
CCUACGGGAGGCAGCAGUAAGGAAUAUUGGUCAAUGGACGAAAGUCUGAACCAGCCAUGCCGCGUGAAGGAUUAAGGCCCUCUGGGUUGUAAACUUCUUUUAUCUGGGACGAAAAAAGGGUAUUCUUACUCACUUGACGGUACCAGAGGAAUAAGCACCGGCUAACUCCGUGCCAGCAGCCGCGGUAAUACGGAGGGUGCAAGCGUUAUCCGGAUUUACUGGGUUUAAAGGGUGCGUAGGUGGGCUUGUAAGUCAGUGGUGAAAUCUCCGGGCUUAACCCGGAAACUGCCAUUGAUACUAUAGGUCUUGAAUUAUCUGGAGGUAAGCGGAAUAUGUCAUGUAGCGGUGAAAUGCUUAGAUAUGACAUAGAACACCAAUUGCGAAGGCAGCUUACUACGGAUACAUUGACACUGAGGCACGAAAGCGUGGGGAUCAAACAGGAUUAGAUACCCUGGUAGUCCACGCCCUAAACGAUGGAUACUCGACAUCAGCGAUACACUGUUGGUGUCUGAGCGAAAGCAUUAAGUAUCCCACCUGGGAAGUACGAUCGCAAGAUUGAAACUCAAAGGAAUUGACGG